AGCGAACGCUGGCGGCAGGCCUAAAACAUGCAAGUCGAACGCCCUAGCAAUAGGGAGUGGCAGACGGGUGAGUAACACGUGGGAACGUGCCUUUUGGUUCGGAACAACACAGGGAAACUUGUGCUAAUACCGGAUAAGCCCUUACGGGGAAAGAUUUAUCGCCAAAAGAUCGGCCCGCGUCUGAUUAGCUAGUUGGUGGGGUAACGGCCCACCAAGGCUACGAUCAGUAGCUGGUCUGAGAGGAUGAUCAGCCACACUGGGACUGAGACACGGCCCAGACUCCUACGGGAGGCAGCAGUUAGGAGUCUUGGACAAUGGGCGCAAGCCUGAUCCAGCCAUGCCGCGUGAGUGAUGAAGGCCUUAGGGUUGUAAAGCUCUUUCAGCGGGGAAGAUAAUGACGGUACCCGCAGAAGAAGCCCCGGCUAACUUCGUGCCAGCCGCCGCGGUAA
rnacentral:rRNA from 1 species